UAUAUAGCACCAUGUCUUAUUACUUUAAAGGGAUAUAUCAUCACUUUGUGCUUGUUACUUCUCGCAAUGUUAGAUCACUAGACUAGCGCUACUCAAGUAGAGUCUAAGAAGGAGAUGUCUCUUGUUUCUCCUAUCAACUCGUAACUCAUCUAAGCUACUCUUACUUGAGACUCUUAAAGAACGUCAUGGGUAUUACUCAAGCAUCCAAGAUUCAUUGAUAGUAAGAUAU
rnacentral:lncRNA from 1 species